rnacentral:misc_RNA from 1 species
GAUGAAGAACGCAGCGAAAUGCGAUAAGUAACGUGAAUUGCAGAAUUCAGUGAAUCAUCGAAUCUUUGAACGCACAUUGCGCCCGCUAGUAUUCUGGCGGGCAUGCCUGUUCGAGCGUCAUUUCAACCAUCAAGCCCCAGGCUUGCGUUGGGGGCCUGCGGCUGCCGCAGCCCCUGAAAAGCAGUGGCGGGCUCGCUGUCAUUCCGAGCGUAGUAGUUACAUCUCGCUCCGGGCGUGGCGGUGGGCACCUGCCGUGAAACACUCUUUCUAAGGUUGACCUCGGAUCAGGUAGGAAUACCCGCUGAACUUAAGCAUAUCAAUAAGCGGAGGA